rnacentral:rRNA from 1 species
GAUCAACGCUGGCGGCGUGCCUCAGACAUGCAAGUCGAACGAUUAAAGCUCUCUUCGGAGAGUGCAUAGAGUGGCGCACGGGUGAGUAACACGUAAGUAAUCUACCCUCGAGUGGGGAAUAACGUCCGGAAACGGGCGCUAAUACCGCAUAAUGCAGCGGCAUCAUAAGAUGACAGUUGUUAAAGAUUUAUCGCUUGAGGAGGAGCUUGCGGCAGAUUAGCUAGUUGGUAAGGUAACGGCUUACCAAGGCUACGAUCUGUAACCGGUCUUAGAGGACGGUCGGUCACACUGACACUGAAUAACGGGUCAGACUCCUACGGGAGGCAGCAGUCGGGAAUGUUGGGCAAUGGGCGAAAGCCUGACCCAGCAACGCCGCGUGAAGGAUGAAGUAUUUCGGUAUGUAAACUUCGAAAGAAUAGGAAGAAUUAAUGACGGUACUAUUUAUAAGGUCCGGCUAACUACGUGCCAGCCGCCGCCGUAAAAC